GUCUUAUUUGCCAUCAGGCGGAAAUGACCUGAAGAUCCACAACGACGAUUCCAAACUGCAAAUCCCAAUGUUUUGUAGGAGUCAAAACAGAGCUUUCCAUGAUUCCAAGGAAGAAGAAAAAAAACCCCAAACAGCAGAACUUGGAAGGAUGAGAGAUUCCAGCAGAAAGAUAAAUCUUGGCUGCCUUCAGGUUCCUUGGCUGUUACUUCUCGAAAACAGAGAAUUAGCGUCAUUGCAUGAGUGAUGGGCCUCGCUCUUCUGCUGUAAGACCUUUGAUGAAUGGGACUUAUGGCAACGGAGGCACUUAGCAUGAAAUAGUCCAGGCGCUUUGGCCAUGUUUCAAGGUGCAUCUACACCAGUGUUUCCCAACCUUUUUUUGACCAGGGACCAUACUCUAACAUUAGUACUAAAAGGGUUCAAAUCGGGUUUUGGUCAACUUUAGAAUUUUUUUGGUUAUUUGGGGUGCUGAUUCAGAAAACUGCAUUGGCUAGACCACAUCAGCUCUAGUUUCUGAUACAGAACAUAUGCCAUCCAGUCUUUGCCAUCUGUUCACCCACAGGAAACCAUAUUCAAUAAGCUUCAUCACCCUAACAGAGUUUUGCAAGACUAGUCGCUCUCAUUGCAAUGGUGUAGUAACAGUGAGGCUGCGGACCAUAUUUUUGUUCUUGUGGACCACUGGUAGUCUGUGGGGACCCACUGAUCUACACUGUGGAACGAAUGAAGCUUGACACCAUUUUCUGCGCCAUGGCUCAAGUCUAUGGAGUCCUGUGAGUCGUAGUUUGGUAGGGCACCAAUGCUCCUCGGCAGAGAUGGCAAAGGACUUUGUAGAACUACAGCUCCUAAAAUUCCACAGCACUGAGCCAAGGCAAUAAAAGCGAUGUCAAACAGCA